CACAUCAUGAAAGCCGCUUGUACCCGAAGUCGCUGUGCCAACUCGCAAGAGAGGCAGGUGCCGAAGGUAUGGGUGGUGAUUGGGAGUG
rnacentral:rRNA from 1 species